CCUCUUCGUCGGCACAGUANGAAUUGCUCUUUGCUCGGAUCUGGAUAGCAUAUAAAAUUCAAAAUAUAGUAGGUAUCAUCAGAAAAAAUAGAGAAGAAAAUGCAGAUGCCGACAAUUUCUAUGAUUUUCACAAAAAAGAAAAUUCCUAAAAGAACUUUUUGUUCUUCAUCGGAUCUAUAAUUUUUCUAAUGAAUUUGUUCUUCAUCGGAUCUAAUAGCAUAUAAAAGUCGCUGUAAGAAAAAGUAUACCAAGGUUAGCUUAAAGUCAGAAAAUCAACUAUUAUAAAUAUAUACGCGACGAAAAAUAUUAUAUUACCUGUAUUUUGUUCUUCAUCGGAUCUACCUGGAUCUUAGUCUUCCCCAUUAAGAUUUUCACCAAAAGCGCGGGAGAAAUUUUGGGAGGAACUGUGAAUAUUGAGGGAAAGAAUGAAAGAAUGGGGAGAUAUUUUUUUUGAAAGGUGAAAGAAUGGGGAGAUAUACAGAGACACAGAUGUAAACGUAAAGAGAGAGAAAAAUAAAAUGAGCAGUAAAUAAAGUGAUGUAUACUGUGUAAGUACUCUUUUGCGUGAAAAGGCGGAAACAAUUAAUGAUUUCACGUGAUGCCUUCCAUGCUGCAAACAAAGUUCAUCCUUUACAGAUGAUAAUAAAAGAUAAAAAAAAAAAUACUAUGAAAUGCAAUUUGGCG
rnacentral:lncRNA from 1 species